rnacentral:rRNA from 1 species
CCUACGGGAGGCAGCAGUGAGGAAUAUUGGUCAAUGGGCUUACGCCUGAACCAGCCAAGUCGCGUGAGGGAAGACUGCCCUAUGGGUUGUAAACCUCUUUUGUCAGGGAGCAACGCCGGCUACGUGUAGCCGGACUGAGAGUACCUGAAGAAAAAGCAUCGGCUAACUCCGUGCCAGCAGCCGCGGUAAUACGGGGGAUGCGAGCGUUAUACGGAUUUAUUGGGUUAAAAGGGUGCGUAGGCGGAAUGCCAAGUCAGCGGUAAAAUCGCGGGGCUCAACCUCGCUCCGCUGUCGGAACUGGGUGCCUUGAGUGGGCGAGAGGUAUGCGGAAUGCGUGGUGUAGCGGUGAAAUGCAUAGAUAUCACGCAGAACCCCGAUUGCGAAGGCAGCAUACCGGCGCCCUACUGACGCUGAGGCACGAAAGUGCGGGUAUCGAACAGGAUUAGAUACCCUUGUAGUC